rnacentral:rRNA from 1 species
GCGGACGGGUGAGUAACGCGUGGGGAACUUGCCUUACAGCACUGGGACAACAUUUGGAAACGAAUGCUAAUACCGGAUAUUAUGACUGAGUCGCAUGCAUUUGGUUAUGAAAGCUAUAUGCGCUGUGAGAGAGCUUUGCGUCCCAUUAGUUAGUUGGUGAGGUAACGGCUCACCAAGACGAUGAUGGGUAGCCGGCCUGAGAGGGUGAACGGCCACAAGGGGACUGAGACACGGCCCUUACUCCUACGGGAGGCAGCAAUGGGGAAUAUUGGACAAUGGACCAAAAGUCUGAUCCAGCAAUUCUGUGUGCACGAUGAAGUUUUUCGGAAUGUAAAGUGCUUUCAGUUGGGAAGAAGUCAGUGACGGUACCAACAGAAGAAGCGACGGCUAAAUACGUGCCAGCAGCCGCGGUAAUACGUAUGUCGCAAGCGUUAUCCGGAUUUAUUGGGCGUAAAGCGCGUCUAGGCGGUUUAGUAAGUCUGAUGUGAAAAUGCGGGGCUCAACCCCGUAUUGCGUUGGAAACUGCUAAACUAGAGUACUGGAGAGGUAGGCGGAACUACAAGUGUAGAGGUGAAAUUCGUAGAUAUUUGUAGGAAUGCCGAUGGGGAAGCCAGCCUACUGGACAGAUACUGACGCUAAAGCGCGAAAGCGUGGGUAGCAAACAGGAUUAGAUACCCUGGUAGUCCACGCCGUAAACGAUGAUUACUAGGUGUUGGGGGUCGAACCUCAGCGCCCAAGCUAACGCGAUAAGUAUCCGCCUGGGGAGUACGUACGCAAGUAUG